ACCCUUGUAGCUCAGCGGAAUAGAGCGCCGGUUUCCUAAACCGGACGUCGUUGGUUCGACUCCAACCUUGGGUG
rnacentral:tRNA from 1 species